CUGGACUCCCCGCCUGCCUCUUGCCUGCCGGAUCAGUUUGGAACCUCGAGUGACCAGGGUGGUCCGGGUCGGCCGCGAUCUUUCCUGUACGUUUUCUCACCCUGGAGUCAUGUCGGACCUUGAUGGAGGUGGCAACCGAUGAGACUUUCUGCUUAACGUACAACGGGCCGCGACUUACCCCCGCAGCGGGCACGGCCGCAGGAAGACGUUAACAGCGUGUGGGAGGAAGGCAACGCCUGUUUCGUUAGCAUGUGGAGGCAGUAAAUCAGUAGCGCGUGACGCAAGUACAGGGGAGCUCCAGUCCCCCGGGCACUCCCACUUCCCCCGGCUGUGGUAGACACACACCCAAACCAGAUGGUGAUGGAGGAGGUGAGGGUGGUCUCUGUGAUGGAUGAAUAAUCCCGGAUCACGUUGGAUUGGGAGAUCUAUCAGAUAUGCAAGUCACCCAUGCCUUGUGCUCGAAUGCACCCCCAUAUCAUCACGGAUUCUGGAUUUGAACUGUGCGCUUAUUACAAGCCGGAUGGUCCCUCUCCUUAUUAGCCUGGAGGAUGAGGUAACUCAUCUCAUCUUCAUCUGCUU
ensembl:lncRNA